UUGCCCCCAGGUGGUUGAACGCGUCUCUCUACAUCCUGAUGGUUUUUUUCCUUAGAUCCAUGAAGCCAUUCCCUUUUCCAGGAAGAGUCUUUCUCUCCUUCCUUUUGGCCCAGCAAAUUUUAUUUAUUUAUUUGAGAGAGAAAGAAUGGGAGUGGGGCAGAGUGGGAGAAGCAGACUCCCCACUGAGCAGGACGCCCGAUGCGGGGGGUCAGUCCCAGGAUCCGGAGAUCAUGACCUGAGCUGAAGGCAGACGCUUAACUGACUGAGCCACCCAGGCGCCCCAUGAUCUUCCUGCUUGCAAUCUCUACUUUCUCCAGAAUGAUCCUUCUAAAACACAGACCUUAUAUUCCAGUCCUCAAAUAUAUGGAUGCUUCCAAAUGAUCUACCUAAUAAAGUUAAACAUGGUACGUAUGUAUACUCAGACCACAGCCUACUUUUCCAACUGUGUUUUAGUAUAUGGGCACAUCAGUUUUGCUUUUGUUUUUUCUUUAAUAUGGUUUCUGUUAAAUAGUGAUCUUGGCCAAAUAUAUAUUCCUGGAUAUUAUCCUUUGAGAAAUACGCACAAUACAAUUUUUGUAAAGUCACUAAGAUCACAUUAACCACCCAACUCUUAAGAAAACCUCUGGUGAUAGUGCAAAGAACAUUAGGUCCUCUACUCUGCAGACAUUGCCUGAGAAAGGGAAUAAACACAAUUAGAUGAUAAGUCAACCAAUCGGAAGAACAAUAAUAAACAACUACUAGUGUCUAGCCUAUCCAUUUUAUCAGGCAUGGAAUGGAUACUGUUCUACCUUAAGGAUGAAUACCGUGGACUACCCACUCCCCCCGCCCCCAAAUUAUACCAAGAUCUAAUUACAAAGCUGAAUGAUUUCCUUUUUCCUUCUCCAACAAGAAUUAUACUGCAGAAACUGUUUUGUGAAAGAUUUCUCAACUUUGCCUAAGAAUUCCAACAGAUUAUAGAAUAUACCAGAAUUUUGAAAUAGCGGGGGAUGACUGGGUGGCUCAGACUGUUAAGCGUCCAACUCUUGAUCUCAGCUAGGUCCUGAUCUUUGGGUCAUGAGUUCAAGCCCCAUGUUGGUUCCAUGUUGGGCAUGAAGCCUACUUUAAAAAAAAUUUUUUUUUUUUUUUUUUUUUUUUUUUAAAUCAGAAGUGUCCUUGAAAAAAAUCUGCCCUUGUUACUUAAAGCAAAAAGGGUGCUUAUUUUAAGUUUCUGUUUGGGGCAGGGACAGUAGAUUUUGAAGAUUUAUGCAAAGCAAUCCUGGGAAUCGCAUCAAGAGUUAGAGCUCUCCUCCGAAAACCCUCCAGCUGGCAGACACACUGCUGUGAGGCAGCUCGUCCCCUGAAAAGGGACAUGUAAGCAAAAAACUGCCAAAGGAUGAUGAAACACAAGCCAACUUUACGCCAACCUUUCUAAGAAAAAAAGCAUCUUUGAACUCUGACAAUUUGAGAAGCAUUAUACAGAAAUAUCUAUUAUCAAGUAAUCCUAGAGAGACUGGUCAUUAUGGCCAAUCCAAGACAUUUACCUAAAUAAUGGCAGGUCAGCUCCCCUGCACACCCCAACUCCCCAAGCAUACCUUUCUCCUCACUGCUCUGUCAGGGAAUACAAAUAUUUAAUAUGAGACUGAGCACACAGAGUAAGAAAAUGUUGGUAAAAGCAUGUAUAUAAUGCUUUGCAGAAGGGGAUGUUUUGUUUGAUAUCCUCUUCUAAUGAGUUAGCUAAGUUAAACACAAUGCACUGGUGUCGCCACUUCUCAUAAAUUUUCCAGCAUGGAAAAAUGCACACACUCCUUUUUGCUCCCUGGGUAUUCCCAGGCAGGUCAUCAUACCUGGCUGCAAGGUGAAGAAGGAAGCAAUGCUGGUCUGCCGAGUGCCUGUAGGGGGAAUUCUUUGAGUAAAAGAAAUCUUAGCCUUUUUCUCUCCAGGAAAGAGUGUUAGCAUUUUGGUGUUUGGCUUCAUUAAAUGUGUCUGAGGAGGGGGAGAAAAAGAAUAAUAGAAUCUAUUAAUAUCAAAACAGCUGCCAGACAGGAGAGAUUCAAUAAACACCUGUGACCCUCAUGGAACUGCACUGGAACCUUUGGACUCCACUCCUAUCCUAUUCUCUAGGUAGUUUUUGCUGUACGUCAUCUUCUACCAUUUCCUGCCACACUGAUGGUGUUUGUUUUUAUCAGGAAAUCAUAUUCCAACUAUAGCCCAAUCUUUCUGCUUCCCCACAGAAAUCAAUCACGUUGACUUAAACAAACAGGAUUUGUUGAAGUGAUUCCAGGAAUGAUACUCUCUCUUAUACUUAAAGAUAACUAAUGAUUCUACAUCAGCAGCAGUUGACACAUUUUUAGUGGUUUUCAAAUAGUCACAUACAGUUAUAUAUACAGAUAUAUACAGUUAAGAGCAUAGCUCACACAGCUUGGGUUCAAAUCAUUCCAAUUCUGCCACUGCUACUUAUUAACUGUGUGACCCUAUGCAAGUUGCUUAAUCUAGGUCUCAUUCUCAUGUGUGAAAUGAGGACAGUAAAGUACCUAUCCCAUAGGGCUGUUAUGAGGAUUUGGUGAGUUAAUUCACAUAAAAGGCUUACACAGUUCCUCGGGUUCAAUACUAAUUGGUUAUUACUAGGAGGAAGAGCAGUGAAACAGCCAGUCUUACCCACUCUCAGCCCCUUUAUACUUUACAGUAUGAAUUUGUACCAGAAAAGGUUAGGGAAGUAAAUUUUGUCAACUAACUAUAAAUAUAACCUCAUCUUUAUUUAAUGUGAUUUUUGUUUCCACUUGCUUGUUAUGGAAUGCCUGAGAAGUAACCCUGAGAACAGGGUAAUUUAUAUUCAAUUCAGUUUGCAUGAAAACCAAAGAAACGAGAUUUGCUGAUUUUCAUGUUGUAAGUUGGAGACAGGUCUGAAGCGAACUCAAAUUAUUAAUUCUAGCCCAAAGUUGACUUCAUUUUUACAUUUGGAAACUAAAAUGUACCUUAAGUGGAUAAAAGAAGAAAUCCUUGGUGUAAAACUCAUACUCUAACUUGCAGUACUGGUGUGGAACUUUCCCCUCUACCGUACAAAACUAGAAAACUGGAUAAAAUACAUGAAACAACUGAUAUUAGAUGGUGGACAACAGGAAUUGCAUUGGAUUGUGAGCCCUGAGAGAAGGAAAACAAUGAGGCAUUUAUCUGAAGAGAAUGAAAACAGCAAAUGAAGAAAUAUAUGCACCCCUAUAUUCACUGCAGUAUUAUUUACAAUAGCCAAGAUAUGGACGCAACCCAAGUGUUCAUCAACAGAUGAAUGGGUAAAGAAGAUGUGGUAAAUAUAUACAAUGAAAUAUUACACAGCCAUAAAGAAUGAAAUCUUGCCAUUCUCGACAGCAUGGAUGGACUUAGUGGGUAUUAUGCUAAGUGAAGUAAGUCAUACAGAAAAAGACAAACAUGUACAACUU